AUUGAACGCUGGCGGCAGGCUUAACACAUGCAAGUCGAGCGAGCGGCGGACGGGUGAGUAAUGUCUGGGAAACUGCCUGAUGGAGGGGGAUAACUACUGGAAACGGUAGCUAAUACCGCAAACGAUCAGAUGUGCCCAGAUGGGAUUAGCUAGUAGGUGGGGUAAUGGCUCACCUAGGCGACGAUCCCUAGCUGGUCUGAGAGGAUGACCGGCCACACUGGAACUGAGACACGGUCCAGACUCCUACGGGAGGCAGCAGUAGGGAAUAUUGCACAAUGGGCGCAAGCCUGAUGCAGCAAUGCCGCGUGUGUGAAGAAGGCCUUCGGGUUGUAAAGCUCUUUCAGCGGGGAGGCGGUACUCGCAGAGGAAGCACCGGCUAACUCCGUGCCAGCAGCCGCGGUAAUUC
rnacentral:rRNA from 1 species